UGAAUACGAGACGCUAAGGCGUCGAAGUAGUGUAUGUCAUACUUCCAAGAAAAGCUUGCACUGUCAUAAGUAAAAAAUGCCUGUACCAUAACCGACACAGGUGGGUAGGUAGAGUAUACUAAGGGGCGCGAGAUAACUCUCUCUAAGGAACUCGGCAAAAUAACUCCGUAACUUCGGGAGAAGGAGUACCUUAUUCUAUAAGGUUGCAAUAACAAGAUCCAAGCAACUGUUUAUCAAAAACACAGGUCUCCGCUAAGUCGUAAGACGAUGUAUGGGGGCUGACGCCUGCCCAGUGCCAGAAGGUUAAAGAAGUCGGUUAGCAUUAGCGAAGCUGGUAACUGAAGCCCUGGUGAACGGCGGCCGUAACGAUAACGGUCCUAAGGUAGCGAAAUUCCUUGUCGGGUAAGUUCCGACCCGCACGAAAGGCGUAAUGAUUUGGAUACUGUCUCGGAGAGGGGCUCGGUGAAAUAGACUUGUCUGUGAAGAUGCGGACUACCUGCACCAGGACAGAAAGACCCUAUGAAGCUUUACUGUAACUUGAAAUUGAAAUUGGACUUUAUUCGCGCAGUAUAGGUGGGAGGUGUUGAUUAUAAUCUUGCGGGAUUAUUGGAGCCAUCAGUGAGAUACCACUCUUGUAAUGUUAGAUUUCUAACUUUGAAUCAUUAUCUGGUCAAAGGACAGUUUCAGGCGGGCAGUUUGACUGGGGCGGUCGCCUCCCAAACGGUAACGGAGGCGUACAAAGGUUUCCUCUGAACGGGUAGAAAUCGUAUCUAGAGUGUAAAGGCAUAAGGAAGCUUGACUGUGAGACCUACAAGUCGAACAGGGACGAAAGUCGGUCUUAGUGAUCUGACGGUACUGAGUGGAAAGGCCGUCACUCAACGGAUAAAAGUUACUCUAAGGAUAACAGGCUGAUCUCCCCCAAGAGUUCACAUCGACGGGGAGGUUUGGCACCUCGAUGUCGGCUCAUCGCAUCCUGGGGCGGUAGUACGUCCCAAGGGUUGGGCUGUUCGCCCAUGAAAGCGGUACGCGAGCUGGGUUCAGAACGUCGUGAGACAGUUCGGUCCAUAUCCGGUGUAGGCGUUAGAAUAUUGAGAGGAGCCUUCUUUAGUACGAGAGGACCGAGAAGGACAUACCUCUGGUGUACCAGUUAUCGUGCCAACGGUAAACGCUGGGUAGCUAUGUAUGGAGUGGAUAACCGCUGAAAGCAUCUAAGUGGGAAGCCCACCUCAAGAUAAGUAUUCUC
rnacentral:rRNA from 1 species